rnacentral:rRNA from 1 species
CACGUAGGUAACCUGCCCUGGAGCGGGGGAUAACAUUUGGAAACAGAUGCUAAUACCGCAUAACAACAAAAGCCACAUGGCUUUUGUUUGAAAGAUGGCUUUGGCUAUCACUCUGGGAUGGACCUGCGGUGCAUUAGCUAGUUGGUAAGGUAACGGCUUACCAAGGCGAUGAUGCAUAGCCGAGUUGAGAGACUGAUCGGCCACAAUGGAACUGAGACACGGUCCAUACUCCUACGGGAGGCAGCAG